GGGAUGGUCAUGGAUAGGAUGUCUUUGAUUAUAGGCCUGCUCGAACAAGACCACUUCAUCAUCACGCAUUAAAAUACGAUGUUAUACUUAAACAUUUAAUCUUUGUCUUUUCAGAAGAUCUUGGCCCAAAACUUGUUAAGUCAAAAGAAUUUCCUAGGUGCAAGUCUUCCACUACAAACAGCUGGCCACAAAAUCUGCACUGGAAUGGUAAAAUGGAAGCAAAAACGAGUAGAAAUCACCCAAAGUUAUUGAAUCAAAAAACACAUGAAAACAAGAUUUUACACAUGUAGAUUUAUUUUAUGAAGAUAUUUCGUACAAAGGGUAUUCUAAGAAAAACACUACAUUUUAAGAGAACAAAAUAAGAACAUCUCAAAAAAAAAAAAAAAAAAAAAAAAAAUCUAGCAAAGCAAUCUG